rnacentral:rRNA from 1 species
GCAGUGAGCGGACAGAUGGGAGCUUGCUCCCUGAUGUUAGCGGCGGACGGGUGAGUACACGUGGGUAACCUGCCUGUAAGACUGGGAUAACUCCGGGAAACCGGGGCUAAUACCGGAUGGUUGUCGUGAACCGCAUGGUUCAGACAUAAAAGGUGGCUUCGGCUACCACUUACAGAUGGACCCGCGGCGCAUUAGCUAGUUGGUGAGGUAACGGCUCACCAAGGCGACGAUGCGUAGCCGACCUGAGAGGGUGAUCGGCCACACUGGGACUGAGACACGGCCCAGACUCCUACGGGAGGCAGCAGUAGGGAAUCUUCCGCAAUGGACGAAAGUCUGACGGAGCAACGCCGCGUGAGUGAUGAAGGUUUUCGGAUCGUAAAGCUCUGUUGUUAGGGAAGAACAAGUGCCGUUCAAAUAGGGCGGCACCUUGACGGUACCUAACCAGAAAGCCACGGCUAACUACGUGCCAGCAGCCGCGGUAAUACGUAGGUGGCAAGCGUUGUCCGGAAUUAUUGGGCGUAAAGGGCUCGCAGGCGGUUUCUUAAGUCUGAUGUGAAAGCCCCCGGCUCAACCGGGGAGGGUCAUUGGAAACUGGGGAACUUGAGUGCAGAAGAGGAGAGUGGAAUUCCACGUGUAGCGGUGAAAUGCGUAGAGAUGUGGAGGAACACCAGUGGCGAAGGCGACUCUCUGGUCUGUAACUGACGCUGAGGAGCGAAAGCGUGGGGAGCGAACAGGAUUAGAUACCCUGGUAGUCCACGCCGUAAACGAUGAGUGCUAAGUGUUAGGGGGUUUCCGCCCCUUAGUGCUGCAGCUAACGCAUUAAGCACUCCGCCUGGGGAGUACGGUCGCAAGACUGAAACUCAAAGGAAUUGACGGGGGGCCCGCACAAGCGGUGGAGCAUGUGGUUUUAUUCGAAACAACGCGAAGAACCUUAACCAGGUCUUGACUUCCUCUGACAAUCCUAGAGAUAGGACGUCCCCUUCGGGGGCAAAAUGAC